rnacentral:rRNA from 1 species
GAUGAACGCUGACAGAAUGCUUAACACAUGCAAGUCAACUGUGGCGGACGGGUGAGUAACGCGUAAAGAACUUGCCUCACAGUUAGGGACAACAUUUGGAAACGAAUGCUAAUACCUGAUACUGUGAGAGAGCUUUGCGUCCCAUUAGCUAGUUGGAGAGGUAACGGCGCACGAAGGCGAUGAUGGGUAGCCGGCCUGAGAGGGUGAUGGGCCACAAGGGGACGGGGACACGGCCCGUACUCCUACGGGAGGAAGGAGGGGAGAAUAUUGGACAAUGUACCAAAGUCUGAUCCAGCAAUUCUGUGUGCACGAUGAAGUUUUCGGAAGGUAAAGUGCUUUCAGUUGGGAAGCGGUACCAACAGAAGAAGUGACGGCUAAAUACGUGCCAGCAGCCGCGGUAAUUC